GGUAUUGUUGGAUUGCUGCUGGCUGAUAACUUGUUGUGUUUCUGGCUUUGAUUUAUUGGCUCCGAAACUCUCCAAAACUUGUCCUUGAGGAACUCAUCGAGGAAUUGGAGAAGUUGGAAUUAGGUAUGGUUAAGUUUCUACUUAUAAUUUUCUUUACUUUAAUCUGGUUUUUAUUAAUAUAUAUUAUUUGUUAUGAUUGUUUCUUGAUUUAUAUAUUUUGUAGAAGUUGCACCCACUCCUGAUCCCAAUGAAGAAGAUUCUGCUAUUGAGUACAUCUUGUUAUGGUUGGUGUGCAUUAAGAAGUUUAGCUAUUUUGUUGGAGAAGACACCAUAACUUUGCUAUCAGUUUAAUGACAAUUUAUUUUUAUUUUCAGUUGUGUUGACUGUUGAACUAUUGAACUUCUUUAAUUGUCGUAUUUGAAUUCUGUUGUCGUUAAAUUUCAUUAUAUCAAGACUUUGUUAGCUAUUGUGUA